rfam:Coprinopsis cinerea okayama7#130 chromosome 11 cont3.11, whole genome shotgun sequence.
GCCAACGUAGCACAAUGGUAGUGCGUUGCUUUCCUACCUAAAAAGGAAAUAGGUCACGUGAGGCAAAGGUUGUGGGUUCGAUCCCCAUCGUUGGUU